CGGUGAUUUUAAACGACAGUUUUAAAGGUUAAAAGAAAUGACAUUUAAACUACUAUAUUUAGUGUUAUGUUAAGCAAUUUUAAAAUGAUUCACGUAGGGAUCACCCUAUCUCAUGCCAGCCAAUAAACUCUAUGCGUUUAAGUAAUUUCUGAAGUUAAAUUGAAUUUUUAACUCCGAAAUUGCAACGUAUAUGUGAAAAAAUGAAGAGACAAAUAAAUCAAAUUUUCUUUUUAAUAGUUUUAAAAUAAACAAUUAAUCAAACUAAUUCAUUAUACAAAUAAAUCAACAACUAUAAUUACUAAUUUAAAUAAAAAUCAAGAAAAAAGAAAUAAAUAAGAUGAUGCAAAUUAGUUAUGCGGAGGUGUCAAAAACCAUUUACGGGCCUAAAACCCAACAAAUCCCAUUACUAAACUAAAUCCAAAUUUUACAACAUAUAAUAAUAAUAAUAAUAAUAAUAAUCAUAAUAAUAAUAAUAAUAACAAUAAUAAUAAUAAUAACAAAAAAUAAUAAUAAAACAAAAAAAUUAUUAACAAUAAUAAUAAUUAGUAAACACUAAUAAUCAAUAAUAAUGAUCAAUAAUAAAAUUAACAACAAUAAUAGUCAAUAAUGAUAAUUAACAAUAAUAAGGAUUAAACCAUAAUAAAAAAUAAUAAUAAUUAUAACUAAUUUAAUAAUGACAAUUAUAAUAGUAAAAAGUAUAAUAAUAGUAAUCAUAAUAAGAAUAAUAUAGUAAUAAUAUAAUAGUAGUAGUAAUCAAUAAUCCAUAAUAAUAAUAAUAGUAAUACAUAUGCUAAUAAAAAUAAUAGUAAAUAAUUAAUAAUAAUAACAAUAAUAAUAACAAAUAUAAUAAUAAAUAAAUAUGGCAAGGGAGUUUUAUGUGAAAAAAAUUUAUUUUUUUCCUCCUNAUAAUAUAAUAGUAGUAGUAAUCAAUAAUCCAUAAUAAUAAUAAUAGUAAUACAUAUGCUAAUAAAAAUAAUAGUAAAUAAUUAAUAAUAAUAACAAUAAUAAUAACAAAUAUAAUAAUAAAUAAAUAUGGCAAGGGAGUUUUAUGUGAAAAAAAUUUAUUUUUUUCCUCCUUGCUUGUCUGUUGCAACAACAACACGGUCUUUUUUUUUUUAAAUUAAAACAAAAACAAUUUCUUCUUUUCCAAUUAUGAACAAAAAUGAGAAAUAUUACCAAUCAAAUCAAACAUGGAUACCAAAUCUUUAUCUCUGACUUACUCUCUAACUCAAAAAUCUGGUAGUGGUUGUGCGGUUAAGAGAUUUGUGAUAUUGUUGUUGUUUUCGAUGUUGUGGUGGUUGAAGAAGAUGAAGUUGGGUAAUGAUGAUGAAGAGUGACAAAAAACUUUGAUUUGGUGUUGAUGAUGAAGAGGAAAAUUGUGUUAUUGUUUAUGUUAGUAUGGAUGAUGUUGUAGCUUCUAUGGUGUGGUUUUGGAAAAAAAGUAUAGAUGAAGAGAUGAGUUAUUUAAGGUUGUUGUUAUUGUUGUGAUGAAAAUGAUAUUGGUUAGAGGUGUUGAUGAUGGAGGAGAUAGGCUGUGGUGAAAAUUUUGUAUGAUUUUAUGUUUGUAUGAAGAUGAAGAUAUGUUAUGUUGUAGUUUAUGUAUAGGCGGCGUUGGUUUUGGGAAGAAGAUGAAAACUUGCUUAUGUUGUAGCUGUAUGGAGGUUGUGUUGAGAAGAAAGGAAGUGUUUUUAUGAGAAAGUUUAUGAGAAAGAAGAGACAUAUUUUGGAGAAAGUAUUUGGGUGUAUGAGAAGUGAAGAAUGAGGCAACAGUAAAAGACAAAAGAAAAUGGAGGGGAGAGAGAGAGAGAGAGAGUAACAUGGGGAGAAAGAAAGGGAGGAAAGAAAAAAGAAGAAAAAUAAAUGAAAUCCUCCCAUUGAUCGAAAUUUUUUAAAAUUAAUUUUAACUAAAAACUAAAGGCUUAUGUUGAUUCGUUUGUAAAAUAAACUUAUUUAUUUUACUAAUUAAAUAAAAAUACACAAACAUGAAUAAAACUCAAAUUGAAACAUAGGUAAUUUUUAAUAAUUUUCCCGAUUAUUUUGGUGAAAGAACAUAAAUAAUCGAAUAAAAAUCGAGCAUAAAAAUGGAUAGUGGUAGAUUUUAAUAUAGAGUUAACGGUCAACUAAUACAAUAGCAGUAGAGGAAAGUUGUAAACUUAUUACACAUUACGGGAAUAGGGUACAACUUUGUAGAAUGGGGAUAUAGUACAACAAUUAACAACAUAGGCUUAACAGACAACUGUAUAUAAUAAAAAUCUCGUUGUAAGAAGGCCCAAGAGAAAUCCAAUGAACCAAAAAUUAAAUUGGACUUUUGAACUACUGAAUUUAGCGCUAUGUUAAGCAAUCGUAAAGUGAUUUAUGUAGAAAUCACCCUAUCUGGGGUUUGUUAAUAAAUUAUAUGGGUUUAAGGAAUUUCUGAAGUUAAAUUGAAUUUUUAACUCUGAAAUUACAAUGCAUAUGUGAAAAACCGGUGAUUUUAAACGAUAGUUUUAAAGGUAAAAAGAAAUGACAUUUAAACUACUAUAUUUAGUGUUAUGUUAAGCAAUUUUAAAAUGAUUCACGUAGGAAUCACCCUAUCUCAUGCCAGCCAAUAAACUCUAUACGUUUAAGUAAUUUCUGAAGUUAAAUUGAAUUUUUAACUCCAAAAUUGCAACGCAUAUGUGAAAAAACGAUGAGAUAAAUAAAUCAAAUUUUCUUUUUAAUAGUUU
rnacentral:lncRNA from 1 species